CCGUACCUAGAACCGACACAGGUGUCCCUAGGCGAGGAACCUAAGGCGUGUCGGGUAUACACUAGUGUGAGGGAACUCGGCAAUUUAGCCCCGUACCUUUGGUAUAAGGGGUGCCUGCAGUUUCGGCCUUUGGCUGGAACAGCAGGUCGCAGUGACAAAGGGGUCCCGACUGUUUAAUAAAAACACAGGAAACCGCAAGCGCGAAAGCGUGUGAACGGUUUCUGAAUCCUGGCCAGUACAGGUACCUGAAACCUGGGUCCAACCGGGCCAAGGGCCUGCAAACGCCGGGAGUAACUCUGACUCUCUCAAGGUAGCCAAAUGCCUUGUCGGGUAAGUUCCGACGUGCAUGAAUGGAUCAACGAGGGCCCCGCUGUCCCCGCGUAGUACCCGGUGAAACCACAUAACGUGGACGAACAGUCCACGAACUCCCAGCGGGAAAAGAAGUCCCUGUGGAGUUUUACUGCAGCCUGUCGCUGGAAUACGUUUGCGGAUGCAGAGCGUAGACGGAAGCUGCUUGAUCUUGGUUUCUCCGGGAGCCAGGGGAGGCGACAAUGGAACACCGUCCUUCUGCGGCCGUGUUUCUAACCGGCGCAUCGGCGCUGGGACAACGGUUGGUGGGCAGUUUGGCUGGGGCGGCACGCCCUUGAAAAGAUAUCAAGGGCGCCCUAAGGUCGGCUCAGACGGGACAGAAACCCGUCGUAGAGUGCAAAGGCAAAAGCCGGCCUGACUGGAUCCUCCAAAGUAAGGGAUCCAGAGGCGAAAGCCGGGCUUAGCGAUCAUCCAUGUCCCCCUUGGUGGGGGCUGGAUGUGUCAGAAAAAUUACCCUAGGGAUAACAGGCUCGUCGCGGGCGAGAGUCCCUAUCGACCCCGCGGCUUGGUACCUCGAUGUCGGCUCUUCCUAUCCUGGCCCUGCAUAAGGGGCCAAGGGUGAGGCUGCUCGCCUAUUAAAAGGGAACGUGAGCUGGGUUUAGACCGUCGUGAGACAGGUCGGUCUUUAUCUGCUGGGAGUGCAGGCUGCCUGAGGGGAAAGGGUCCCCAGUACGAGAGGAACGGGACGCUGUGGCCUCUAGUUAACCGGUUGUUCGACAGAGCAAAUGCCGGGCAGCCACGCCGCUGAGAAUAAGGGCUGAAAGCAUCUAAGCCCGAAGUCUCUCCUGAAAAUAGGCAGCCAUUCCUCUAAAAGAGGACGAAGGCUCCCAUAAAAGAUGGGUUUGAUGGAACCGGGGUGUAAGCUGGAAGGUUUCGACCGACCCGCUCAGCCUGCGGUCUCCAACCGCCUGAGGUAUUGA
rnacentral:rRNA from 1 species